GGACGGCAUCGAAGGGAAGAGAAGGUUCCUGCUGCACCAGAAGCCCCUUAUGGAGCAGUGAAGGAUUUCACAGAACUAAAGAUCAGGUGCCUGAGACAGGAGUUUUUAAAAAGAUGCUUUGAAAGCCAAGGGGGAAGCUGAGUUAUGAGAAAGCUUUGCACCACCGCAAGGAAUACAGAGCCCAGAGCUGGGAUCCGAGUCACUGUGGCACUGGGACAGAGGCACUUCGUCGUACGCACCUGGGAGCCCAGACUGGCCUGGCCAUUGGCAGCAGGGGGUCCCCGGUGUGGGCUUGCAGCUUGUUCACCUUUACUGUGUCUUCAGGGGCACAUCUGUCCAUCUCAGCAAGGCUUCAGUGAACGUGCCUUCAGGACGUGGAAGCAGACACCGCACUGUGUCGGGGGCCUGAACACGAAGUCGGUAGAGGAGCAGGUCUCCAGGCACGGCUCCGGCAACACCAACAGGAAGCGGGCCACCUUGGAGAGCGCUCUUCCACUGCUGGAGUUCCUGGUCAAUACGGCAUCGUCUGCGUGGAGGGUCUGAUGCAUGAGAUCUACGCUGCUGGAAAACACUUCAAAGAAGCAGACUACCUCCUGUGGGCUGAAGUUCUCUUCUCCACCAGGUGAAAUGAAGAAAAAGCCCACUCGUUUUGUAGAAGGUAGGGGUGCUGGCAGCCAGGAAGACCAGACCAGCAGGCUUUCUAGCAGAAUGAAC
rnacentral:lncRNA from 1 species